UUCCCAGCAAACACCCGACGUUGACCCAACGUUGGAUCAACGUUGAAUUUUGGUCGCGACGUCGGUGACCUUCAUACAACGUCAAAUCGACGUUGAAUCCCCGACGUCUAACAGACGUUGCAUUUUGACGUCGACUCGACGUCGGGUUUUGGUCGGUAAUCUGACAAUAGGUAAAUUUAAUUUAUGAAACCAAUAUAUAUAUAAAUGAAAGCAUAAACAGCGAGAAUUUUAAGUUUAAGUUUAGAAAAGGAACAUUAUAUAUUUAUUUUCUCCAUCAAAACAACAGUAUCACGUGGGUGGCUAACGUACGAUAUUCGAUAGGUGGCGCUCUGUAAACGGAUAGUCGCAGAUCAGUAUGAAAUAUAUUUGCUCUAUUUUCGUUUAAAUAAUAUCUUAUCUCCUCGAAUUAGUCUAAGAAGUGUUUAUAUAAUUUACAAUGAAGUUGUUAUCAUUUUUGAGGGCUUCAUUUUAUAGUGGUAAAUUAUUUAGUAAAUUCGAAUUUGCGACUUAUCGGAUUUGAAAUUCAAUUGUAUUGGCGGACAAAAAACGACGGGUUGACAGACAAAGUUGUGUAUUCCAAACAAAAGAAAAAGAUUGUGAAAAGUAUGAUAAUUCAACAUGUGUCAAAAGUUCAUGAGGAAGAUGAAAAUAUUUAGAGGAAAAGAAAAAUGAAAACCUACCAAGAUUUUGUGACAGAAAGUGUGAUGAGAUCUCAGGUUGGAGACGGG